rnacentral:rRNA from 1 species
UACGUAGGGGGCUAGCGUUGUCCGGAUUUAUUGGGCGUAAAGAGCGUGUAGGCGGCCAGGUAGGUCUGCUGUGAAAACUCGAGGCUCAACCUCGAGACGUCGGCGGAAACCAUCUGGCUAGAGUCCGGAAGAGGAGAGUGGAAUUCCCGGUGUAGUAGUGAAAUGCGUAGAUAUCAGGAGGAACACCCGUGGCGAAGGCGGCUUUCUAGGAUAUACCUGACACUGAGAAGCGACAGCUAGGGGAGCAAACAGG